rnacentral:rRNA from 1 species
AUGACGGAGAUUUCGGUCAACGGAUUGGACUACCUAGUGGCGGACGGGUGAGUAACGCGUGAGCAACCUGCCCUUCGGAGGGGGACAACAGUUGGAAACGACUGCUAAUACCGCAUAACAUAACGGGAAGGCAUCUUCUUGUUAUCAAAGAUUUAUCGCCGAAGGAUGGGCUCGCGUCUGAUUAGCUAGUUGGUGGGGUAACGGCCCACCAAGGCGACGAUCAGUAGCCGGACUGAGAGGUUGAACGGCCACAUUGGGACUGAGAUACGGCCCAGACUCC